UCCUACGGGGGGCAGCAGUAGGGAAUUUUCGUCAAUGGGCGCAAGCCUGAACGAGCGAUGCCGCGUGAGUGAAGAAGGCCUUCGGGUCGUAAAGCUCUGUUGCGGGGGAAAAAAGGCAGCAUCAGGAAAUGGGUGCUGACUGAUGGUGCCCCGCCAGAAAGUCACGGCUAACUACGUGCCAGCAGCCGCGGUAAUACGUAGGUGGCGAGCGUUAUCCGGAUUUAUUGGGUUUAAAGGGUGCGUAGGCGGUCCGUUAAGUCAGCGGUAAAAUUGCGGGGCUCAACCCCGUCGAGCCGUUGAAACUG
rnacentral:rRNA from 1 species